CCUUAUUUAUUUCGCACUAGCAAAUUCUCACUGAAACACUUAUCCGUACCAAAUCAAACAAUGCUUUUUCCUCCCAACAUAUGGGUGAUAACUAGUUAUUAAGACUAAAACACGAAAUAUCUUGGUAAUAGUUAAUUUUAGCGUGUUCUAACAAAAGUACCUACUCAAAAACGUUAGGUAACAAUUGUCAAAGUGGUUUGUCACAAAAUGUUAAAAAAAUGAAAUAAAACCGAUUUUUAUUUUUUAAAUUUAACACCCUAUAACUAAGAAACAAACAACUUUGGACUAAGUGUAUUCAAGACACUUAAUUUUUUACGAGGGGACAUAUGUAAGAAGGACAUUCCAGAUCCAGCCUGUCACAGUAUUGCAUGUGAGAUCUCUCAAGAAAAAAAAGACGGUAUAAUACAAAAUUUAUUGGGACUCAUGGAAGAUAACAGAAAGGACUUUUGGUUAAACUUGCCAGUUACUACUAACACUCACAUUGUUACGAAAAAUACGACGUAAUAGAAAGAAAUCUAAAUAAAAUAUUAGUUUUC